rnacentral:ncRNA from 1 species
AAGAGCGGAGUGACGGGAGACUGUCACGCUCCGUUUCGUGGGAGCCCGGAGGUGAAACUCCUCCGGGCGACCCGAC